rnacentral:rRNA from 2 species
AUUACUUCUGUGUAAUGCGAUGAGAGGACGGAGAAGGCUAAAUCAGCCUGGCGUUGGUUGUCCAGGUGAAAGGAUGUAGGCAUGUAUCUUAGGCAAAUCCGGGGUACUCUAUGCUGAGAUCUGAUAGCAAGCUGUACUUGUACAGCGAAGUGGUUGAUGCCAUGCUUCCAGGAAAAGUCUCUAAGCUUCAGUUACACAGGAAUCG